UACGUAGGGUGCGAGCGUUAAUCGGAAUUACUGGGCGUAAAGGGUGCGUAGGCGGUUUGCUAAGACAGGUGUGAAAUCCCCGGGCUUAACCUGGGAAUUGCGCUUGUUACUGGCAGGCUAGAGUGUGUCAGAGGGAGGUAGAAUUCCAUGUGUAGCAGUGAAAUGCGUAGAGAUGUGGAGGAAUACCGAUGGCGAAGGCAGCCUCCUGGGAUAACACUGACGCUGAGGCACGAAAGCGUGGGGAGCAAACAGG
rnacentral:rRNA from 1 species